rnacentral:rRNA from 1 species
UGGGGAAUAUUGGACAAUGGACCACAAGUCUGAUCCAGCAAUUCUGUGUGCACGAUGACGUUUUUCGGAAUGUAAAGUGCUUUCAGUCGGGAAGAAGCAAGUGACGGUACCGACAGAAGAAGCGACGGCUAAAUACGUGCCAGCAGCCGCGGUAAUACGUAUGUCGCAAGCGUUAUCCGGAUUUAUUGGGCGUAAAGCGCGUCUAGGCGGCGAGGAAAGUCUGAUGUGAAAAUGCGGGGCUCAACCCCGUAUUGCGUUGGAAACUGCCUUGCUAGAGUACUGGAGAGGUAGGCGGAACUACAAGUGUAGAGGUGAAAUUCGUAGAUAUUUGUAGGAAUGCCGAUGGGGAAGCCAGCCUACUGGACAGAUACUGACGCUAAAGCGCGAAAGCGUGGGUAGCAAACAGG